rnacentral:rRNA from 1 species
GCAUAUCAAUAAGCGGAGGAAAAAGAAACCCAACAGGGAUUGCCCUAGUAACGGCGGAGUGAAGCGGCAACAGCUCAAAUUUGAAAUCUGGCUCUUUCAGAGUCCGAGUUGUAAUUUGCAGAGGGCGCUUUGGCUUUGGCAGCGGUCCAAGUUCCUUGGAACAGGACGUCACAGAGGGUGAGAAUCCCGUACGUGGUCGCUAGCUAUUGCCGUGUAAAGCCCCUUCGACGAGUCGAGUUGUUUGGGAAUGCAGCUCUAAAUGGGAGGUAAAUUUCUUCUAAAGCUAAAUAUUGGCCAGAGACCGAUAGCGCACAAGUAGAGUGAUCGAAAGAUGAAAAGCACUUUGGAAAGAGAGUCAAACAGCACGUGAAAUUGUUGAAAGGGAAGCGCUUGCAGCCAGACUUGCUUGCAGUUGCUCAUCCGGGCUUUUGCCCGGUGCACUCUUCUGUAGGCAGGCCAGCAUCAGUUUGGGCGGUGGGAUAAAGGUCUCUGUCACGUACCUCUCUUCGGGGAGGCCUUAUAGGGGAGACGACAUACCACCAGCCUAGACUGAGGUCCGCGCAUCUGCUAGGAUGCUGGCGUAAUGGCUGUAAGCGGCCCGUCUUGAAACACGGACCAAGGAGUCUAACAUCUAUGCGAGUGUUUGGGUGUCAAGCCCGAGCGCGUAAUGAAAGUGAACGGAGGUGGGAACCCGCAAGGGUGCACCAUCGACCGAUCCUGAAGUUUACGGAAGGAUUUGAGUAAGAGCAUGGCUGUUGGGACCCGAAAGAUGGUGAACUAUGCUUGAAUAGGGUGAAGCCAGAGGAAACUCUGGUGGAGGCUCGCAGCGGUUCUGACGUGCAAAUCGA